rnacentral:lncRNA from 1 species
UGUUAAAUACCCUCAGGCCAUCUUGUCUUUUUCACUUCUUUAUCUAGAUUAUUCGCAUUAAGUGACACCAUGUCUAUUGAGGAAAAAUUUCUUGAAUCUUUGAGGUCUAAAUUCGAAUCAGGGAAAACAAGGAGCAUAUACCCUAGAGUAAAGUACCAUGAUCUUUUGGCAAAGAUUAAACUUUUGGAAUCAUCAGAAAAGAAAGUGACAAAAGAUUACUACAAUUUAAGAAGGUAUGACAUUUUUAACAUUGGUGGUUUUGAGAGGUUGAUAACUAAAGUCAGCGAGAAUGCUGAGGG